AACGAACGCUGGCGGCGCGCUUAACACAUGCAAGUCGAGCGGUCUGGGGGCAACUCCAGGCAGCGGCGGACGGGUGCGUAACACGUGGAUAAUCUGCCCUAGAGACGGGGAUAACCAGCCGAAAGGUUAGCUAAUACCCGGUAAGCUCACGGACCCGAAGGGGUCAGGGAGAAAAGUCGCAAGACGCUCUAGGAUGAGUCCGCGGCCCAUCAGGUAGUUGGCGGGGUAAAGGCCCACCAAGCCUACGACGGGUAGCUGGUCUGAGAGGACGACCAGCCACACUGGAACUGAGACACGGUCCAGACUCCUACGGGAGGCAGCAGUGGGGAAUCUUGCGCAAUGGGCGAAAGCCUGACGCAGCGACGCCGCGUGUGCGAUGAAGGUCUUCGGAUCGUAAAGCACUGUCGCCCGGGAAAAAGAAAGUGAUGGUACCGGGAGAGGAAGCACCGGCUAACUCUGUGCCAGCAGCCGCGGU
rnacentral:rRNA from 1 species